rnacentral:rRNA from 1 species
UACGUAGGGUGCAAGCGUUAAUCGGAAUUACUGGGCGUAAAGCGUGCGCAGGCGGUUUGUUAAGUCUGUUGUGAAAUCCCCGAGCUCAACUUGGGAAUUGCAAUGGAUACUGGCAGGCUGGAGUAUGGUAGAGGAAGGUGGAAUUCCCGGUGUAGCAGUGAAAUGCGUAGAGAUCGGGAGGAACACCAGUAGCGAAGGCGGCCUUCUGGACCAAUACUGACGCUCAUGCACGAAAGCGUGGGGAGCAAACAGG